AAGGAAUAUUGGACAAUGGGGGCAACCCUGAUCCAGCCAUGCCGCGUGAGUGAAGAAGGCCUUAGGGUUGUAAAGCUCUUUCAGGUGCGAAGAUAAUGACUGUAACACCAGAAGAAGCUCCGGCUAAAUUCGUGCCAGCAGCCGCGGUAAUACGAAUGGAGCGAGCGUUGUUCGGAAUCACUGGGCGUAAAGCGUAUGCAGGCGGACAUGCAAGUCAGAAGUGAAAUCCCAGGGCUUAACCCUGGAAUGGCUUUUGAAACUGCAUGUCUAGAGUCUCGGAGGGGCCAGCGGAAUUCUCAGUGUAGAGGUGAAAUUCGCAGAUAUUGAGAGGAACACCAGUGGCGUAGGCGGCUGGCUGGACGAGUACUGACGCUCAGAUACGAAAGCGUGGGGAUCAAAC
rnacentral:rRNA from 1 species